rnacentral:snoRNA from 8 species
AAGACUAUACUUUCAGGGAUAAUUUCUAUAGUUCGUUACUUGAGAAAUGUGUGUCUAAAGUGGUAGGUCUCGCUCUCCAUGAUGACGAUUCAAGAUAUUCCCAUUCAGAGCAUGAAAUCUGGUGGCUGGAAAAUGACCUUUGCUCAUGUUUCUUCAACCUUUGAUGAUCUUUCCUUGUUCUUCAAUGAACAUGCAUGAAGGGAAUAUGUUUCUGAGUGGA